UCGGAGUGGAAGGCGGACUGAAGGUUC
rnacentral:sRNA from 1 species